rnacentral:misc_RNA from 1 species
ACACCUCAACUCUCAUGGUCUGCCAUGACGAGCUUGGACUUUGGGGGUCUUGCCGGCCUAGCAUCGGCUCCUCUCAAAUGGAUCAGCUUGCCAGUGUUUGGUGGCGUCACAGGUGUGAUAACUAUCUACGCUUGUGGUCUCUGCCAUGCAACCUCCAGUGAUGGGGGUUCGCUGGAGCUCACAGAUGUCUCUCCUUGGGGAAGACAGCUUUUUGAAC